rnacentral:rRNA from 1 species
CGAUGGUAGGAUAGAGGCCUACCAUGGUGGUAACGGGUAACGGGGAAUUAGGGUUCGAUUCCGGAGAGGGAGCCUGAGAAACGGCUACCACAUCCAAGGAAGGCAGCAGGCGCGCAAAUUACCCAAUCCCGACACGGGGAGGUAGUGACAAUAAAUAACAACACAGGGCUCUUUUGGGUCUUGUUAUUGGAAUGAGUACGAUUUAAAUCUCCUAACGAGGAACAAUUGGAGGGCAAGUCUGGUGCCAGCAGCCGCGGUAAUUCCAGCUCCAAUAGCGUAUAUUAAAGUUGUUGCAGUUAAAAAGCUCGUAGUUGAACUUCAGGCCCGGUCGGACGGUCCGCCUUCUGGGUGUGUACUGUCUCGGUUGAGUCCUACCUUCUGGCGAAGCGGCAUGGCCUUAAUUGACCGUGUCGGGAACCAGGACUUUUACUGUGAAAAAAUUAGAGUGUUCAAAGCAGGCAUGUUAGCUUGAAUACAUUAGCAUGGAAUAAUGGAAUAGGACGAUGGUUCUAUUUUGUUGGUUUCUAGGACCGUUGUAAUGAUUAAUAGGGAUAGUUGGGGGCAUUAGUAUUCAAUUGUCAGAGGUGAAAUUCUUGGAUUUAUUGAAGACUAACUACUGCGAAAGCAUUUGCCAAGGAUGUUUUCAUUAAUCAAGAACGAAAGUUAGGGGAUCGAAGACGAUCAGAUACCGUCGUAGUCUUAACCAUAAACUAUGCCGACUAGGAAUCGGGCGAUGUUAAAAAAAUGACUCGCUCGGCACCU